rnacentral:pre_miRNA from 1 species
UGCGACAGUGCCGUGUUCUGUGACUGACUAGGCUGGCGCCGGACUGGCGGGCGCCCGCUGGUCUGUCACUGAACACGAGACCGGCCGCAU